UACGGGGGGGGCAAGCGUUGUUCGGAAUUACUGGGCGUAAAGGGCUCGUAGGCGGCCAACUAAGUCAGACGUGAAAUCCCUCGGCUUAACCGGGGAACUGCGUCUGAUACUGGAUGGCUCGAGUUUGGGAGAGGGAUGCGGAAUUCCAGGUGUAGCGGUGAAAUGCGCAGAUAUCAGGAGGAACACCGGUGGCGAAGGCGGGUCUCUGGGCCGUAACUGACGCUGAGGAGCGAAAGCGUGGGGAGCGAACAGG
rnacentral:rRNA from 1 species